GAUGAACGCUGGCGGCGUGCCUAAUACAUGCAAGUCGAGCGAACGGACGAGAAGUUUGCUCCUCUGAUGUUAGCGGCGGACGGGUGAGUAACACGUGGAUAACCUACCUAUAAGACUGGGAUAACUUCGGGAAACCGGAGCUAAUACCGGAUGAUAUUUUGAACCGCAUGGUUCAAAAGUGAAAGACGGUCUUGCUGUUACUUAUAGAUGGAUCCGCGCUGCAUUAGCUAGUUGGUAAGGUAACGGCUUACCAAGGCAACGAUGCAUAGCCGACCUGAGAGGGUGAUCGGCCACACUGGAACUGAGACACGGUCCAGACUCCUACGGGAGGCAGCAGUAGGGAAUCUUCCGCAAUGGGCGAAAGCCUGACGGAGCAACGCGGCGUGAGUGAUGAAGGUCUUCGGAUCGUAAAACUCUGUUAUUAGGGAAGAACAUAUGUGUAAGUAACUGUUCACAUCUUGACGGUACCUAAUCAGAAAGCCACGGCUAACUACGUG
rnacentral:rRNA from 1 species